GAGCGUGUAGCUCAGUGGUGGAGUGCAUGCCUAGCAUGCACAAGGUCCUGGGUUCAAUUCUCAGUACCUCU
rnacentral:tRNA from 1 species